UAAAAUAUUUCAUCCUCUCUCUAAAGAAGUCCCUAAAGACCUAAACCCACUAAGACUGGUCAAAUUGCAAUCUCUGUAGACGCAAUCGUUUGAGACGCAUGUUGGGUUUCCUGAUUCAAAGCUUCUGCAUCGAUUGCUUCUCAUUAUCUAGUCAUCUUUAAGGGAUAAUGCGUCACUCACUUCUCAUUAUCUGGUAAACGCAAUCGUUGGAUUUCAUGUUUUUUGCUUUCUUCGAUGAAAAUAUUUAAAAUUUGUUCCAUUCAUUUGUGAUUGAGUCUCUUUCGGUUGGGUGCGAGGCUAAAAGUGGGGCUUGGAGGACAACGAGGCGAGAUAUUCGAUGGUUCAUUGUGGGUUUCAUCUGUUGGGGUUUAUUCCGGAGACUUGGUUCAAGGGGUAAAAUAAUUUUGUGGGUUUAAUUUAUUGUGGGGUUGUGUCUAUUAUAAAUUUCUUAUGAAUUGAUUAAACUUUUUUACCUAUUCGGUGUUCUAAGUUAGUUCUUUGUCUCCAGAUUUUUAUGGGGUUCUUUAAAUUGUGUAACCAACUUAUUGAGUAAUAAAUCAUCACGUUUUUCAUAUUUAUUUCAUGAAAUUCUCCGUUUUGUGGUUUCAGAUAUGUGAAAAGUAUUUUCAGUUUGAUUCGAAACAGGUUUUUAUUUAUUUAUUAUCGUUUGCUUCUAAUAUUGGGCCGACGAAUAGAAGCUAGUUUUUUUUGUGCUUUUCUAGGUCAGGUUCGGAGGUAAAAUGAAAAAGAUAAUCUCAUUCGUCGGCUAUUGAAAUUUACUAUGCUCGGGUUUUACCUCUUUUCUGAACUUGUAAUUAAUGAAGAAUCAAAGGAUUUAGGAGUUCUGCUGGUUCAGAGCUUUCUAUUUGCUUCAGCUAUACGAGGUCGCUUUAUGAAAUUAAUUCAUCUGAUUUGGGCUUCUCUUAUGGGUUGGUUUGGAAGAACUAAAGCUCUCUCGUGAGAAGUUCAUCUACUUAAUUCACUCUCAAACAGGAAAUGAAAAUGAUAUGUGGUCCUUUGUGUGGCUGAAAAUGAAAACCUUGGUGUGGAGGAUCAAGGAUUUGCAAGGUAAAUCUGGUGGUGCUCCAAACUCCAUGAGGUUCUGUCUCAUGACUUUGCAGUUUUUUCUUUGUUAAGCUUUAAGAGCUUUAUGGCAAAUAAAAGAUCAUGCAAUGACCCUCAAACAUAGUCUAUAAUAACCCCUGUGCAAGAUGAUGGUCAAAGUUUAUUCAGAGCAUAAAUCUACAAUAUAUCUUCACCAGUUAUAAGGUGGUUCAUUUUACCAAAACACAUAUUUGGGAGGGAUGUAAAUCAGAAGGGCAGCGAUUAACCGCUUACACCAGAGAAUGAAGUGUUCCUUCAGAGCUAAUACAAAAUAUGUCCAGCUUUUUCCUUACUGCCACAAAACUGUAUAAUUCCUUUACAGUUGCUAGAAGCAACAGGAAUGCAGCAAAUCGAGCUAAGUUGAAGAUGCCUCAUCAUAUUGGUAGCAAGCCUAUUCGAGACAUUAUUUAUCAAAAGGGCGGGAAAUAUGGCAAUCCACCAGAUUUGGGGACUGUUUUCUUUGAGACUCGUAAGAAAGAUAACAAGCUUGUUGAACCUGAAGCAAUUGAAAACAUGCUCAAAUCGAAAAAAUGGUUCAAUCGGUGCCAUCUCUAUCUAGCAUAGAGAUUGUCAAAAAAUGUUGUGGACCUCAAACUCGUAGCCAUGUAUUUGGCUUUGGGGGUGGAGUAAAGGCCAAAGACUUGAAAGGUGGCACUUCUUCAAAUGAUGAAUUGCUGUCUGCGCUAGUCCUUGAAUGAGAAAAAUAAAUCCUUGAAUGAUCUCUUGUCUACCUUCGAAGAUGAGAUGAAAGAAAUUAAGAAAAUAAAAGAAUUCUUUGCUUCUCAACAAUAAUAUGUCCCGCCUACGACAUCGCCCGUUUCAACUGGAUGACCACUGCUUUUGUCUGCUGACCAACCUCGAUGAUGUUGCUGGAUAACACCUAAUGAAUUUAUUACAUUGCUUUUGGGGUUUCGAAGAUUGAAUUUAACAAGUCAAGAUGCAAGUUUAGAAGAUGCACAAGCCCAUUAUUUUCCUAGGAAUGUUAUGCACUCGCUAUCGUAGUCUAGCUCGAGUGUUAGUAAAGUUGUUUUGUUAAGGUGUCGAGCAAAUAUUGAAACUAACAUCAUGGGAUGUUAACAAUUUUAUUGUAAUUAACAACUCUAUC